GUUGAACGCUGGCGGCAGGCCUAACACAUGCAAGUCGAGCGAGCCGCAGACGGGUGAGUAAUGUGUGGGAACCUGCCCGAUCGAUGGGGUUAACUACGGGAAACGAUGGCUAAUCCCGAAUACUAUCGGGUGAUCGCAUAUGGGAGUAGCUAGUUGGUGGGGUAAAGGCGCACCUAGGCGACGAUCUCGAGCUGGUCUGAGAGGAGGAUGAGCGUAACGGGGAGUGAGACAGGGCCCAGACUCCUACGGGAGGCAGCAGUGGGGAAUAUUGCGCAAUGGGCGCAAGCCGGAUGCAGCCAUGCCGCGUGUAUGAAGAAGGCCUUAGGGUUGUAAAGUACUUUAAGCGGGGAGGCGUUAACUGCAGAAGAAGCACCGGCUAACUACGUGCCAGCAGCCGCGGUAAUAC
rnacentral:rRNA from 1 species